rnacentral:rRNA from 1 species
AGUGAACGCUGGCGGUAGGCCUAACACAUGCAAGUCGAACGGCAGCACAGUAAGAGCUUGCUCUUACGGGUGGCGAGUGGCGGACGGGUGAGGAAUACAUCGGAAUCUACUUUUUCGUGGGGGAUAACGUAGGGAAACUUACGCUAAUACCGCAUACGACCUACGGGUGAAAGCAGGGGAUCUUCGGACCUUGCGCGAUUGAAUGAGCCGAUGUCGGAUUAGCUAGUUGGCGGGGUAAAGGCCCACCAAGGCGACGAUCCGUAGCUGGUCUGAGAGGAUGGUCAGCCACACUGGAACUGAGACACGGUCCAGACUCCUACGGGAGGCAGCAGUGGGGAAUAUUGGACAAUGGGCGCAAGCCUGAUCCAGCCAUACCGCGUGGGUGAAGAAGGCCUUCGGGUUGUAAAGCCCUUUUGUUGGGAAAGAAAAGCAGCAGGUUAAUACCCCGCUGUUCUGACGGGACCCAAAGAAUAAGCACCGGCUAACUUCGU